rnacentral:rRNA from 1 species
ACGGAAGGCAGCAGUGGGGAAUAUUGCACAAUGGGCGAAAGCCUGAUGCAGCGACGCCGCGUGAGUGAAGAAGUAUCUCGGUAUGUACAGCUCUAUCAGCAGGGAAGAAAAUGACGGUACCUGACUAAGAAGCCCCGGCUAACUACGUGCCAGCAGCCGCGGUAAUACGUAGGGGGCAAGCGUUAUCCGGAUUUACUGGGUGUAAAGGGAGCGUAGACGGUUUGGCAAGUCUGAAGUGAAAUGCGGGGGCUCAACUCCUGAACUGCUUUGGAAACUGUCGAACUAGAGUGCAGGAGAGGUAAGUGGAAUUCCUAGUGUAGCGGUGAAAUGCGUAGAUAUUAGGAGGAACACCAGUGGCGAAGGCGGCUUACUGGACUGUAACUGACGUUGAGGCUCGAAAGCGUGGGGAGCAAACAGGAUUAGAUACCCUGGUA